UUCCAUUGAAUUUCAGUUUCUCCUCGUCACCCGCCUCGUACAGAGAUGCCUGUGCCGUGCACAGGGGCGUUUUCGAUUAUCGAGUUUCGUAUCGGUCGCGCGGCGCCCACGGGCCGAAUUGGCUCAACCCUAAUUCAGUUUCGAUCGCGGCUACGAUGCGUGCAGUCGUGUCGUGACAUGUCACGGUGUGGCGUGCGGGCGAUUCGAAUCGCUCGAUGCGCGGACGGGGUGGCGGCGGUUCACGCUCGUCCCACCGCGUCACCCCGACGCCGAUGUCGACGCAAAGGCGCGGCGUAUCGCGGUGGUAUACGCGAGGCUCCUCCAAUCGCUCGGCGAUCGUUCGAAUAAGAGCGCGGUGUUAUGCAUGUGCGCCGUUCUGCGAUACGUGGUCUUU
rnacentral:misc_RNA from 1 species